ensembl:lncRNA
UGGAAAUUUUGUGACAUUCUAUGAAAAAUAUUAACAUGUCAGGUAGAUAAAACUAAUAUAUUAUUUAACUUGAAUAUUUACUUUUUAGAUGGUUCAAACUGGGAUUCUACAAGUACUUCUGAGACACAUAAGACUCACAGAAGUUCCAAGAAUUUAAACUUACAAAGGAGUGAUGUUGGCAAAUCCUUGCUCAGGACUCUAAAUAAGUUAGGUUCCACAAGAGCUGCAGCUGGAAGUGGGCCUGAAGUAGAAAAUCCAGGCCCCCAGAAGCAAUGUGAACCUCUUCUAGAAAAAGAAGCCCAAACACAUCAUCCAGGGAAAAAUCGUAAUGUGAAGGUAAUAACCUUGAUACUUUUCAUUUAUUUUCUGAUAUGUACUGAAAACUCUCUAUGCAACUUUUUUUUAUUAAAUUAUCUUGUUUCAUAGCCUAGUCAAUGUGGUCUUCCAAUGAAAGAUCCUUCCACAAGCCAAGAAUCAGAGAAAGUAGUCAAGACAAAACGAAAAUUAGCUUUUAUGGAAAAAGUUGAUUUACCUGCUGCAGAAAACACUGAUGAUGGUUCAAACUGGGAUUCUACAAGUACUUCUGAGAUACAUAAGAGUCACAGAAGUUCCAAGAUUUUAAACUUACAAAGGAGUGAUGUUGGCAAAUCCUUGCUCAGGACUCUAAAUAAGUUAGGUUCCACAAGAGUUGCAGCUGGAAGUGGGCCCGAAGUAGAAAAUCCAGGCCCCCAGAAGCAAUGUGAACCUCCUCUAGAAAAAGAAGCCCAAAAACGUAAGAAAGAUAUAGGGUUAAUACUCUGAAUUUAUUUGUAUU